ACCCUACUAUGCCUAGCCGUAACACAACAAUCAAAUAAUUAAUUGUUCGCCAAAUAACUACGAGCAUAAGCUUAAAAUUUAAAAGACUUGACGGUACUUCACAACAACCUAGAGGAGCCUGUCCAAUAACCGAUACUCCACGAUUAACCCAACCCACCCUAGCCUAACAGUCUAUAUACCGCCGUCGCCAGCUUACCUUGUGAAAGAAAUAAAGUAAGCAAAAUAAACCCCAUUAAUACGACAGGUCGAGGUGUAACUUAUGGGUGGGUAAAAGAUGGGCUACAUUUUCUAAUACAGAAAAUACGAAUAAACUAUGAAACUAGAAACUGAAGGUGGAUUUAGCAGUACGGUAAGAAUAAAAUACUUAACUGAAACUAACGCAAUGAAGUGCGCACACACCGCCCGUCAUCCCUGCCACAACUAAAAAAAAUUCAUAAACAUAUCACCAAAAUAAAACA
rnacentral:rRNA from 1 species